AAAGUCGUAACAAGGUUUCCGUAGGUGAACCUGCGGAAGGAUCAUUACCGAGUGCGGGCCCUCGCGGCCCAACCUCCCACCCUUGUCUCUAUACACCUGUUGCUUUGGCGGGCCCACCGGGGCCACCUGGUCGCCGGGGGACGUCGUCCCCGGGCCCGCGCCCGCCGAAGCGCCCUGUGAACCCUGAUGAAUAUGGGCUGUCUGAGUAAUAUGAAAAUUGUCAAAACUUUCAACAAUGGAUCUCUUGGUUCCG
rnacentral:misc_RNA from 1 species